rnacentral:rRNA from 1 species
AGAACGUAGCGAAAUGCGAUACUUGGUGUGAAUUGCAGAAUCCCGUGAACCAUCGAGUCUUUGAACGCAAGUUGCGCCUGAAGCCAUUAGGUUGAGGGCACGCCUGCCUGGGUGUCA